GUCUACGGCCAUACCACCCUGAACGCGCCCGAUCUCGUCUGAUUUCGGAAGCUAAGCAGGGUUGGGCCUGGCUAGUACUUGGAUGGGAGACUGCCUGGGAAUACCGGGUACUGUAGGCU
rnacentral:rRNA from 1 species